GCUAUUUAGGUAGCGCCUCGUGAAUUCAUCUCCGGGGGUAGAGCACUGUUUCGGCUAGGGGGCCAUCCCGGCUUACCAACCCGAUGCAAACUGCGAAUACCGGAGAAUGUUAUCACGGGAGACACACGGCGGGUGCUAACGUCCGUCGUGAAGAGGGAAACAACCCAGACCGCCAGCUAAGGUCCCAAAGUCAUGGUUAAGUGGGAAACGAUGUGGGAAGGCCCAGACAGCCAGGAUGUUGGCUUAGAAGCAGCCAUCAUUUAAAGAAAGCGUAAUAGCUCACUGGUCGAGUCGGCCUGCGCGGAAGAUGUAACGGGGCUAAACCAU
rnacentral:rRNA from 2 species